rnacentral:rRNA from 1 species
AACGAACGCUGGCGGCAGGCCUAACACAUGCAAGUCGAGCGCGCCCUUCGGGGUGAGCGGCGGACGGGUGAGUAACGCGUGGGAACGUGCCCUUUUCUACGGAAUAGCCUCGGGAAACUGAGAGUAAUACCGUAUACGCCCUUUGGGGGAAAGAUUUAUCGGAAAAGGAUCGGCCCGCGUUGGAUUAGGUAGUUGGUGGGGUAAUGGCCUACCAAGCCGACGAUCCAUAGCUGGUUUGAGAGGAUGGUCAGCCACACUGGGACUGAAACACGGCCCAGACUCCUACGGGAGGCAGCAGUGGGGAAUCUUAGACAAUGGGGGCAACCCUGAUCUAGCCAUGCCGCGUGAGUGAUGAAGGCCUUAGGGUUGUAAAGCUCUUUCAGCUGGGAAGAUAAUGACGGUACCAGCAGAAGAAGCCCCGGCUAACUCCGUG